CGUUAUUACCGAGAGGCAUUGUAACACAAUAUUGAGAGGCGGGUUUCUUUACGUGAACAGGCACAGGGUAGGAGACACAUGUACCUGCAAGAGGUGUGAUCGAAACGUUGACUCCUGUGGGCACAGAUGGACGAGUUGAGCUGGCAGUGAUGGGUCGACCGUGGCUGCAGAGUGGGCUCAGGUCUCGGAACACAGUCGCAGCGCUCCACGUCUAUUUCACAGUCGGGCAUCCAUGAACCGAGUGGAAACUCUGAGCAGGAGGCAAAGAUAUACGGAGGAUUUCCAGGCUGUAAGACUCGGCGGCGUAGCGCGUGGAGCGGUGUGAGCCCACUGACGGUGGAGAGGAGAAGGUCUCUGGCUGCUGCGGCAGCCUCAUACGACACUUCCACAACUUCCAGUCAGGAAAGUCCGUCAGUCUGAGCAGCUCGUCCAGGCUGGAGGCCGAGCGCACCUUUCUCUCCCACUGCUUCAUGACCUGCAGGGAUCACACGGGAAGUCACAUUACACAUAUUACUCAUCACAUUUAGAUGUCAUUUAAAGUGUGUUUAUGCAAAACUAA